rnacentral:rRNA from 1 species
CGCGUCCCCGCCGGCCCCU